UGGGGCGUGGCCAAGUGGUAAGGCAACGGGUUUUGGUCCCGCUAUGCGGAGGUUCGAAUCCUUCCGUCCCAG
rfam:Gossypium arboreum cultivar AKA8401 contig_76575_1, whole genome shotgun sequence.